UUCUUUCUGUAGCUAUAAUAUUUUUAUAAAAAUAUUGAAUAUUGUAUCACAGAAUGGAUU
rfam:Monodelphis domestica chromosome X, whole genome shotgun sequence.